AACAAGUUUGGAACAAGCUGUUAACAACUUGUAACAAGCUUGAUGGCAUUAUCAGACUUAUUACAAGGUUCUAACAAGUCUGAUACAGUCAUGAUAUAACAAGAAUGUUACAAGGUUGAUGACACAAGGUUGUAACAAUAUUGUUAUGUCAUGACUGUAUCGGACUUGUUCAACAAGGUUGUUACAAGUUGUUAACAGCUUGUUCCAAACUUGUU